rnacentral:rRNA from 1 species
UACAGAGGGGGCAAGCGUUGUCCGGAUUUAUUGGGCGUAAAGCGCUCGCAGGUGGCCCGUCGCGUCGUGUGUGAAAGCCCCCGGCUCAACUGGGGAGGGUCACGCGAUACUGAUCGACUCGAAGGCAGGAGAGGGUAGUGGAAUUCCCGGUGUAGUGGUGAAAUGCGUAGAUAUCGGGAGGAACACCAGUGGCGAAGGCGACUACCUGGCCUGUUCUUGACGCUGAGGCGCGAAAGCUAGGGGAGCAAACGGGG